rnacentral:rRNA from 1 species
UACGUAGGCAGCAAGCGUUGUUCGGAGUUACUGGGCGUAAAGGGUGUGUAGGCGGUUCUUUAAGUUUGGGGUGAAAUCUCCCGGCUCAACCGGGAGGGUGCGCCGAAUACUGAGGGACUCGAGUGCGGGAGAGGAAAGUGGAAUUCCUGGUGUAGCGGUGAAAUGCGUAGAUAUCAGGAGGAACACCGGUGGUGUAGACGGCUUUCUGGACCGUAACUGACGCUGAGACACGAAAGCGUGGGUAGCAGACAGG